rnacentral:rRNA from 1 species
CCUACGGGAGACAGCAGUGGGGAAUAUUGCACAAUGGGGGAAACCCUGAUGCAGCGACGCCGCGUGAGUGAAGAAGUAUUUCGGGAUGUAAAGCUCUAUCAGCAGGGAAGAAAAUGACGGUACCUGAGUAAGAAGCCCCGGCUUACUACGUGCCAGCAGCCGCGGUACUGGGGAGGGGGCAGGCGUUAUCCGGAUUUCCUGGGUGUAAAGGGAGCGUAGAGGGCAGCACAAGUCUGGAGUGAAAUGCCGGGGCUUAACCCCGGCACUGCUUUUGAAACUGUGCAGCUAGAGUGCAGGAGAGGUAAGUGGAAUUCGUAGUGUAGCGGUGAAAUGCGUAGAUAUUAGGAGGAACACCAGUUGCGAAGGCGGCUUACUGGACUGUAACUGACGUUGAGGCUCGAAAGCGUGGGGAGCAAACAGGAUUAGAUACCCGUGUAGUC